CCUCAGCCCUUAGUUGCCAGCAUUCAGUUGGGCACUCUAAGGGGACUGCCGGUGAUAAGCCGAAAGGAAGGUGGGGAUGACGUCAAUUCCUCAUGGCCCUUACGGGCUGGGCUACACACGUGCUACAAUGGUGGUGACAGUGGGCAGCGAGACCGCGAGGUCAAGCUAAUCUCCAAAAGCCAUCUCAGUUCGGAUUGCACUCUGCAACUCGAGUGCAUGAAGUUGGAAUCGCUAGUAAUCGCGGAUCAGCAUGCCGCGGUGAAUACGUUCCCGGGCCUUGUACACACCGCCCGUCACACCAUGGGAGUUGGUUUUACCCGAAGGCGCUGUGCUAACCGCAAGGAGGCAGGCGACCACGGUAGGGUCAGCGACUGGGGUGAAUCGUAACAAGGUACCGUAGGGGA
rnacentral:rRNA from 1 species